GUAGAUCGAAAGAAGUCUCUUCUCCUCAAAUUCCCUUCCUCUUUUAACUCUUCAAAAAUCAAAUUUAAAGUAAAUGAAAAGAGCAUGACGAAUUCAAAUUGGAUUUAGCAAUACGCAUAGGUCAAGUCUCUAAUGUUAGAAGGCGUGAAAGCUAAUAUCAGGAGCACAGAUAGGAUGGCAAUAGGGAGCAACAGCAACAUGGAAGGAGGGGGAGGCAAUGGCGGAAGAACGAGAGGCAGUAUCAGCAGAAUCGCCGUCAGGCACAUGAGCAAGAGGAUCCAUUCCAAGCUGAAGUAUGUGGUCGCUCGUGGAAAUUUCCCACAUCCUAUUGAGAAGGAACUGCCACUGCUAUGUUCGGUUAUUUUCCUUCCAGGAAUUGAAGUAGAUGUCCUCCUUUCUCUCGUGUCCAUUCCGUUGGAGUUGCUGGCCGAUGGUUAAGCUUUUUGCUACUUUCGCAUGUUAGCGAGUUCAACACUCAUCAAGCUUCCAAGGCGUCCCUGACCACUCGAUCUGACUGAAACUAAAUCCGAAUCAAACCAAAAUUUCUGUCAGCAAUUAACAAUUUUUACAUGAAAAAGGAUCUUCAUCGCACUUAAAUGAUGGACCCAAAUGAAACUUGAAGAUGGACGUAGAUUAUGAACUUCUCAUAGGAUGAGGAGUCCGGUUCAAUGGCUCGAUCCUAUCCCUAAAUUUCAGUAAAAUUCUUUAUUGUGAUGAUGAUGAUGGAGAUCACAAAGAGAAUUGGCUUCCCUUGAUUUCACCUAAUGCAAUUCGAUUAUGACUUACGAGUAAUGCCAGCAAUACGAAGCAUUUACGAUGAUUGGUAUGCAAAGCUUAUGCUGCCAUUCAAAGGAGUUAACAGAGAGCCCUGAUUGUUGCCAGAAACCAUCCAACAUCGAGGUCAUGAAAUUCAAGAACAAAUACUAUACACAUGCAGCCGGUCGGGGGUAGAAGGGAUCCAUGGAAACGGUAUAAAAUUCCUUCUCUUUUUGGUUUCUUCCUUUUUUGGGCUAAGGAACAUCACGACGGAUCAGACAUCAACGUGGGGUCCGUACUAUUAAUGGAGGUGUAAAAAAGAGGAAAUGAGUGUCAGUAGCAGAUACCUUGUUUGGUAUGAGAUGAAGAAUCGGUUGGAAGUUCUACGAGGAGCACCCUCUUGAAAUCCUUUCCCCGUGUCCGUGUACCAAGAGAAUGAGAACAAUGACAAUGGGUUUAAGGAGGGUGGCUUUUGCAAAAGUUAAAUCAUUUGUAAGAUAUAGUUGAGCGCAGAGAGAGAGAGAGAGAGAGAGAGAGAGAGAGAGGGAGUGGGUGAAUGCAUUGCAUUUUUAAAGUUCAAGUAGACGGGAG
rnacentral:lncRNA from 1 species